UACGGGGGGGCAAGCGUUGUUCGGAAUUACUGGGCGUAAAGGGCUCGUAGGCGGCCAACUCAGUCGGACGUGAAAUCCCUCGGCUUAACCGGGGAACUGCGUCCGAUACUGGAUGGCUUGAGUGUGGGAGAGGGAUGCGGAAUUCCAGGUGUAGCGGUGAAAUGCGUAGAUAUCUGGAGGAACACCGGUGGCGAAGGCGGCAUCCUGGACUACUACUGACGCUGAGGAGCGAAAGCCAGGGGAGCAAACGGG
rnacentral:rRNA from 1 species